AGAGAGAGCCGCCUACAGAGGAGAAAAAGGAGAGAGAAAGGAGAGAAAGGGAUGAGAGAAAAAAGAAAGGAGAAGAGGAAAAGGGAAGAGGAAAAAAGGAGAGAGUGAGUAUUGAGGAGAUUUGAUUUUCAUAUUUGGGUCUUCAUCUCCAUUGUUAAUAGGAAUGGAAAGUUUCUCUCUGAAGGCCACAUCCGCUGCUUGCAGGCGAUUGUAGCCCUUAAAUCUGGAGCUUGAGGCCAGGUCAAGUGAGUUUGAACUCGAGUGUUUUCUGGAGGUGGAGGUGAAUCUAUCUGUUUCAAUCUUGGUCGGUGUUUUUAGGUUGGUGCUUUUGGCUACUAUUGUUGGUGAGUACAAACUCAAAAUAAAUAGACACAAUGAUAAAGCAGAAAGCUAGAGGUAGAGAGGAAGGAAGGGAUAGAACUGAGGUUGUUAGAAUUAUUUUUUUGGGUGUAAUUAAUAUAAUUAAUACAUUCAUUAUCAA